CUUUCCUUUUAUUUCCGUCACGAACCAAGCAGAGCUCCACUUUCCUUUUAUUUCCGCCGCCACGCCAUCUCGGCGAAGCCGCGUCCGGCAAGGACAAUGCUCCGGCUGCCGCCACCGCCUCUACCCCGGCUAUAAAGGCGCGCCCUUUGGUCGGCCUGCUCCUCGUCCUCCUCCUCACUUCGUCCGGACCGCGCCUUCCCCCUCCUCGUCGCGCUCUGCCCGGUCCGCUCCCCCUCCUCCUCUCUUCGCCCGGGCCGUGCCUUCCUCCUCCUCGCCGCGGUACGGCCGGUCCGUUGCUCCUCCACCCUUGGUCCGGGCCGUGCGUAUGACCUCCUCGAGCCGGGUUUUAUCUUGCUCGCCCUCCUCGGUCGAUUUGCCCGUUUAGAAUCGCGUCUGGAUUUGAUUUUGCUCGUCCUCGAUCGAUUUGCCCGUUCAGAGUCGCGUCCGGAUUUGAUUUUGCUUGCUCGUCCUAGCCGUAGCCGGUUUAGAUGGAAAUCCCGCCUGAUUUGAUGUUGCUCGUACGUCCUCGCCGUCGUUCGUUUAGGACUGCGUCCGAUUUGAGUUUGCUCGUGCUCAGUUCGUCCGUUUAGAGUCGCCUCCGAGUUGAUUUUGCUCGUCCCCGCCGUCGUCAGUCUAGAGUCGCUUCUGAUUUGGUUCUGCCCGUCCUCGCCGUCAUCCGUUUUCGUUUUGCUCGUCCUCGCCGUUGCCCCGACGCGCCCGCAUGUUCUUGGCCCGCCUCGUCGAGAGUCUCCGUCCUCGGUUUGUUCGCGAUUGAGAAAUUUCUGCGUGCGCUUCUGUUGUCUAAUAGACACUUUAGAUCCUGCGGUUUGUGUUCGUGUCAGCGCGAGCGUUGCAGGAACGGUCGGGUGGUUUUGAAAUUGGGUUACGGUCGGAGAUGGAGAGACGGAGAGUAAUUGUCAGUUUGGCGUGCUAGUUCAGAUCGGUUCCUAGGCUCCUGCGUUGUUCGUCAGUCGUUUUUCAGAUCUCAAACGGCUAGCUUUGUUCGUGUUCGUCCGUGGAGACGUGCCCUUUGAUGCUCUGGUUCCUCUAGUUCAGAUUGUACCAGCUAGCUUUUCACUUUCGUCAGGCAUGUGUGCUCUCAUCCUAGAUGCAGGGGUCAUUUGUUCUGAUGGGUGUUAGUGUUACUGCUUCUGUUCUUUUCAAUUGGUUACUUCCUAUCAUGCUUUGCUUAUGUUCCAUAUAUGGUGAUGUGUGUUCAGGGGUGCAAACCAUGUAGGCCGUGGGUGCCAUUUCCAGCAGGCAACAGAGCAGAAAGUUUUCAAAGAGUGCAAAUCCUUGUUUUCUUCCUCGUCUUGCUGUUUCCAUUUUCAUACAGGAGUACUAGAUGAGGUGCUGCUAGUCCCUUAGAUUUCGUACUAGAUUGCAUAGCAUGACUCUAGAAUUUUUUCAUUGCACACCUGGGCAUAUGAUUCUGAUGUGAGCAUAAUAAUUCUAGAGUUUAUUUAUCUGUGAAAGCACGCUCAUCACAUGUUUUUAUUAAUGCUGCUCACUUUUGUCAUGUCCCUUUUGUUUGCCCUGUUAAAAUUUUUGGUUAAAAUAUCAAGAAUGCUGACUUCUGUGUUUGUCGCUAUGUAAGCCAUGCACUUGGGAAGCCUGGGCAUGCUUAGGAUUUGGAUUGCAUAUAGAUUUUAUGCUAUGUUUGUUUAUAACCUAGUUGUGACAUAAUAUAGUGUAAAUCUGCUAAUUUUUUAAUUUAAUUUAUGUUCAAUGCAAGUAGGUUUUGUUCGUAAGUGGUAUUUCUUUUGCGUGUGCAUGAACAUUCACGCUGUCAAUUUUUCUUAUCAUAAUCAUUUACCGUGGUGUUUGACAAUACAUUACUACUGUUCUUUGUUCCCUUUUGAGGUUCACUGACUCAAUUUACCAUGAGAUUUGAUGGCACUUACUGAUGUCCAGUCACUGAAAUAAUAUGCUUUUCUUGCUUUGCCUAGACUUUGUGACAAGAAUAAGCAUGCGUCUCUGUGCCUACAAACUUGUGGGUAGUGAUGAAGAUCUAACCAGCUUCCUAUUUUCAGGAAUGAACAUCUGAAUUACCCUCACCCCUCUACAGAAAUCAGUUUACAGUUUACUAAUUCAGUUUCUAGAACUUCUUUAUAGCUUUCUGAGUUUACUUCGGGCUUUCAUGUGUUAGCUUUUUGUUUGUACCCUUAUCUAUGUCUGUUUCUUUGUGUGUUUCUUGUGUGCAAGUGCUCCAUUGUGUGUGUGUGUGACUGUUUGUGUGAUGUGCCCCUAUCUAUGUAUGUUUCCUUGUCUGCUUCAUGUGUGCAAGUGCUCCAUUGUCUAUGUGUGACUGUGUUUGACUGCUUAGAUGGGGUGAUUCUGAUUGUGUUACUGCUUAUAUGGUCUAUCCAAUUGGUUUCAUAUUCAUGCUUUGCUUGUGUUCCAAUGUCGUCUUCCCAUAUAUGGGGAUGUGUUCAGGGAUGCAAACCAUUUAGGGCGUUUCGAGCAGGCAGGGAUCCAGAGGCGUGCACUGUUCAGGCUUCUCUCCUAGUGAUAGGUGAUGAUAGGCUGAGCAGAAAAGUUUGACUCUUUAACACUCACUUGCUUGGCUUCCACUCCUUUGCGUGGCCGAUUUGGCAUCCAAUGCAUCCCAUGCCCUUUUCCUUGUUUAUCUCACUCACUCAUCACAACACCCUUUUCCCUGUUUUUGUUCCUUAAUUUUUCUUAUCAUAAUAAUCAUGUUUACCGUGGUCUUUGACAAUACAUUUUUUGUGAUAUAUGUGUUUCUUUAUGUCUUAUGUGGAUAUCAUAUUCUUUUUUUUCGUAUUACUGUUGUCCAAUCACUGGAAUAAUGCUUUUUCUAAGUAUUUCAGGUAGGAUAUAGACAAAUGUCAUAUUUGCUCUUCCUUGUGUUGCUAAGUACACUGAUGGGUUGGGUUUGCUUACAACGCAGGACAGAUAAUUCUAUAAAGAAUCAUUGGAAUAUUUCUUUGAGAAAGACGUUAGGUGUCUAUAGCACCAGAAAUAUUUUGGCAAUUCCAAGACUAAUUGGCCUUGAUGACUUAUGGAUAAACAGAAGACGGUUGCUUCUGAGUGCCAUCUUGAUCUGAACAGCUCAUCAUUCUAAUCUUAGCUCACCUCUACAGUCAUACAAACUGGCAUGCCAAUGACUGCUCGGGGUUCCUAUCGCUUUCUGUUUUACCAACCAAGGUAAUCAAAUUUUGAUCUUCAGCUUGCAAAUUUAUCACCUUAUGGGAGGGAAAGGUUUGCAUGUACGCGAGCUCUGAUUUUCUACAUAUAUACUUGAAUUGAUUUGGAUUUGUCAGAUUACUAUUGUACAUGAUGUUCUCCAUGAUUCACUUGAUUUGUUAAUUUUGAUAUUUUCCUGGUGAGUUCUUUAGGUUCAUCUUGUGACACAAAAUACAAUUUUGGUACGUGCAAACUCUGAAAUUUGGUGAUAAAGAAGGUACCUCCUAAUUUGCUCUCUAGCUCUCUUACACUUGUCUUUGUUUAUAUAACAGUAGUAGCCUCCUGGCCUGUACUCCCUCCGUCCGAAUAUACUUGUCAUCAAAAUGGAUAAAAGGGGAUGUAUCUAGACAUAUUUUAGUUUUAGAUACAUCUAUUUUUAUCCAUUUUGAUGACAAGUAUUUCCGGACGGAGGGAGUAGUUGGGUAAUGCAGAGAGAGGUUUGGAAUCGAAGAACUAAAAUAAUGCAGAGGUUAAGCUUCUGAACGGGAAGCUUGAACAAAUAGUUUACUUUUUCUCAUGUCUUCGAUUAGUUUCAUCCUAUCUAUGUCUAUUUCUUGGGUGCAAACACUCCAUUGUGUCUGUGUGAUUGUGUGUGUGGCCGUGACUGUGUGUGUGACUGAUUGUUUGUGUGUGUGACUGACUGUGUGUGUUUCUUUGUCUGUUUCUUGUGUGCAAGCGCUCCAUUGUGUGUGUGUGUGUGUGUGUGUUUUGACUGUGACUCUGUGUCAUUUUUUGACUGUGACUGUGUAUUGAUUGUGACUGUGUAUGUCUGUGUGUGUGUGUUGAUUGACUGUUUGUGUGUGUGUGUGACUGACUGUGUGUGUGUGUGUUUCUUUGUCUGUUUUUUGUGUGUAAGCGCUCCAUUGUGUGUGUGUGUGUGUGUUUUGACUGUGACUCUAUGUCAUUUUUUGACUGUGAUUGUGUAUUGAUUGUGAUUGUGUAUGUCUGUGUGUGUGUGUUGACUGACUGUGUGUCAUUGUGCAAUUGCUCCAUAACUACCAGUUGGCACCUGAUAAUGCAUGGAUAUUUCUAUAUAAGGUCAUGGGCAUGUAAUUUUUAUGAUCUACAUACCUCUGUAGUUGGUAGUAUCAUUGCCCUUUGGACACUCUUCAAUGCAUUGAUGUAUAUUUUCCUGCCACAAGUAUGAUGUUUCUGCUCAGAAUGAUGUAUAUGUAGAAUCCAGGGGUGGAUGGAGGUUUUCAUGAUGGCUAAUUUGAUUUGUUAUGGUUCUGAUGGUGUGCUUCUGGUGUUUGAACUGAAGCCGUGGAUCACCCAUCAACCUGGUCUGUGUUUGUAUGUUGAAUUAUUUCCGGAUAGGACAGAGGUGCAAUGUUUACAUCCAUGGCAGAAGGUUCUUUAACACUGAACUCAUCAAAGGUCCUUGGACUCAAGAGGAAGAUGACAAAAUUAUUGACCUUGUAAACAAGUAUGGUCUAACAAAAUAGUCUCAUUGCAAGGUCAGCUACCAGAACUUCCUACUGCUGAUCCUGGGAUGUUUCCGAGCAUGCUCCCGAACAUGUUCAAUUUAUCCGCCCUAGUACAGUUUAUUUCGUGAUGGCAGAAUGAACCCACCCGUGAUCUAUCACGCUUCUUUAUUAUUCAAUGUUUUGUUAUUACUUUCUAAUUCUUUCUCCCCUUUGCAUCGAUCCACUUGCUAUGCAGCCACUGCCAUGAAACAGCAGGUUAGUUGACAUGCUCGGCGUGUUUAGCUCAGUGGACUUCCUCCGAUCGUUAAUGAACAGAUGGUUACUCUAUUCUUCAAUCAAGUUAUGGCUGCUAUCGGGGGAAACACAUUUGGUUUGGGUGAUGCAGUUGUUAAUAUGAAGCUGAUUUCUGAAUUCAUUCAAAAUAUCUUAGGUGGCAUAAUCAUCUGAAUCCAACCAUAUGGAACGAUGCUUGGACUACUGAGGAGGAACAUGCACUGAUUAAUGCCAUCAGGUAUAUGGGAAUAAAUGAGCAGAAAUAGCAAAAGUUAUUCCUGGAAGGUACUGCAUGCCAAACAACUUACAUCAUGGGUCUUGCUUGUAGUAUUAGCUUUCUGUUUGUGCCCUUUCUAUCUCUUGUGUGUGUGACUGAUUGUGUGUGUGUGUGUGACUCUGUCUAUGUGUGUGACUGACUCUGUGUGAUUGUUACUGUGUGUGUGAGACUGAUUGUGUGUGACUGACUCUGUGUGUCACCGACUGUGUGUGCUUGAUGGUGUGUCCUGUAUGCUUUGCUUGAUGAUGUGUCUUGUAUGAUUUGCUUGAUGAUGUGUCAUGUAUGCUUUG